GUCUAAGGCCAUACCACCUUGAAUACGUCCGAUCUCAUCUGAUCUCAGAAGCUAAGCAGGGCCGGGGCUGGUUAGUACUUGGAUGGGAGACAGAAAGAGAUCCCACCACAACCAUAAACA
ensembl:rRNA 5S_rRNA 5S ribosomal RNA